CUAUACAGGAUGCAAUUCAAUGUGUGGUUAAAAAAAUUCAGGCUGGUGCAUCCAAGUUUUCAUUUAAAAGAGCCCUAUUAGGCAUUUCCUUUUUCCUUAAGGUAUUGGGGAAGAAGUCUGUUUUUAAAGAAUUCAUUAUUCAGCAAAUGUUAAAAUGGGCCUGGUUAAAGAAAGCAUCAGUCCAAGAUAACAGGUCCCCUAUCUCUUUUCAAUUAUUGGGUGAUUUGGUAAAUAAUUUGAGCUCUGUUUGUAGAAAUACAUUUGAGAUCCAGCUUUUUACCACUGCUUUUAUUUUAGCAUUUUUUUGGAGCUUUUAGAAUCAGAGAAUUAGUUUUUGCUAACAAGUCUUGCCAUUCAGGCAUUCAAUGUAAGGACGUACAAUUACAAGAUGGGUUUUGAAAAUUUUUAUUAAGAAAAUCAAAAACUGACCAGCAAGGGAAAGGUCAAUGGGUUCAGUUACGAGCUAUACAUCAUUCGUUAUGCCCAGUUAAAGCAGUCAGGGUUUAUUUAAGUAUUUGUCCAAAAUGUCAAGGUAGUCUUUUAAUACACCAGUCAGGG